AGAUUGAACGCUGGCGGCAGGCCUAACACAUGCAAGUCGAGCGGUAGAGAGGUGCUUGCAUCUCUUGAGAGCGGCGGACGGGUGAGUAAUGCCUAGGAAUCUGCCUAGUGGUGGGGGAUAACGUUCGGAAACGGACGCUAAUACCGCAUACGUCCUACGGGAGAAAGCGGGGGACCUUCGGGCCUCGCGCCAUUAGAUGAGCCUAGGUCGGAUUAGCUAGUUGGUGAGGUAAUGGCUCACCAAGGCGACGAUCCGUAACUGGUCUGAGAGGAUGAUCAGUCACACUGGAACUGAGACACGGUCCAGACUCCUACGGGAGGCAGCAGUGGGGAAUAUUGGACAAUGGGCGAAAGCCUGAUCCAGCCAUGCCGCGUGUGUGAAGAAGGUCUUCGGAUUGUAAAGCACUUUAAGUUGGAGGAAGGUUGUAACCUAAUACGUUGCAACUUUGACGUUACGACAGAAUAAGCACCGGCUAACUUCGUGCCAGCAGCCGACG
rnacentral:rRNA from 1 species